rnacentral:misc_RNA from 1 species
AAGGAGUCUAACAUAUCUGCGAGUAUUUGGGCGUCAAAACCGAGUGCGCAAUGAAAGUGAACGUAGGAGCCACGCGCACGCUGCAGCUUCGACCGAUCUGGAUCUUUAGUGAUGGAUUUGAGGAAGAGCAUAUAUGUUGGGACCCGAAAGAUGGUGAACUAUGCCUGAAUAGGGCGAAGCCAGAAGAAACUCUGGUGGAGUCUCGUAGCGAUUCUGACGUGCAAAUCGAUCGUCAAAUUUGGGUAUAGGGGCGAAAGACUAAUCGAACCAUCUAGUAGCUGGUUCCUGC